AGAUUUGCCAACAUCAAAAGCAACAGUAACAAAAUGAGUCGUCUCUUUAAUUUAAACUUCACCUACUCACAAGUUCAAAGUUCCUUCGCUCUCCCAAUGUGGCCCCUCAUUCAAGACACAGGCUUCUCCUUCUCCUUUUAGACCAGUUCCCUGAAAACAUCAGACUAAUGACUAGUCCAUCCUGGAUGGUUGCAUGAAUGAGGAAAUUUGCAAAAACAGUUCUGGCAGGAUGUCUAGUGAGUUUGUGUGCCCCUAUGCCUAAUAUGGAGAGGAGAGACGAGAACCGGAGAGCUGGGAUGCUGGAAUAGCCUGCACGCCACAGAUCGACAAAGCAAGACAUUUUCAUGGACCCUACAGCUCACAGGGCUUAAUUUUGUUUCUCAACCAAAAUGCCAAGAUCAAGCUGAGCUGAAAUACUGACUGUUUGGAGAAUGGUCUUUCUCCAGAAUUCAGACAACUCUGAAAACCCAAGUCUGUUGCUAGAAGAUAUCUUACUCUAAGAACACACUUUAUUUCAGACAGUGGGAGG
ensembl:lncRNA novel transcript